rnacentral:rRNA from 1 species
GACGAACGCUGGCGGCGUGCUUAACACAUGCAAGUCGAACGGAAAGGCCCUGCUUUUGUGGGGUGCUCGAGUGGCGAACGGGUGAGUAACACGUGAGUAACCUGCCCUUGACUUUGGGAUAACUUCAGGAAACUGGGGCUAAUACCGGAUAGGAGCUCCUGCUGCAUGGUGGGGGUUGGAAAGUUUCGGCGGUUGGGGAUGGACUCGCGGCUUAUCAGCUUGUUGGUGGGGUAGUGGCUUACCAAGGCUUUGACGGGUAGCCGGCCUAAGAGGGUGACCGGCCACAUUGGGACUGAGAUACGGCCCAGACUCCUACGGGAGGCAGCAGUGGGGAAUAUUGCACAAUGGGCGGAAGCCUGAUGCAGCAACGCCGCGUGCGGGAUGACGGCCUUCGGGUUGUAAACCGCUUUCGCCUGUGACGAAGCGUGAGUGACGGUAAUGGGUAAAGAAGCACCGGCUAACUACGUG